rnacentral:lncRNA from 1 species
CACAGUAAUAUUUAAACAAUCAGGUUUAUUAUCUACUUAUUUUAGUUAAAUGCCAUUUUUUCCCUAGAGGAAGAAAAAUUUUAACCUUCAACAAUUGCAUUUGAAGUGAAUGGGCCUGUAAAAGAUACAUCAUCUCCUCUGAUUUGAUUCACCUUGCACAGAAGAUUCCUGCUCAUGAACUGUUAAUAUGACUUAGCCCAAUCAGAUCGGUUUCAUUUGUGUCCUACUUCAAAUCUUUAGGCUUUCCAUCUGUCAAAAACGCUUGGGCGGCUGAAUGAUAAAGUCUUGUUGCUAUGGUGAUUAGUUCCAUUACCUAGGUGACAGUGUUGGCAUUAUGUCACCACUAAAGCAACCUAACUCCCGAAAUAUUUUUAGUGUCUGUUGCAGAUGAACUACAGUAAAAACACCAUCUAUCAAUGACCCCAAAUACCCAAGGAUAUUUGAAGGUAAGGAAGGUGUAGGUUGGCCACUCUCUGCAUGACUUGAAGAAGGGCAAGUAAGGAGCAAAAUACUCAAGAGGACCAUCUGCACACAGCAACACUGCCAAAGAAAGACAGAAUGGAAUCUGCUUGACCUUCCCCUGCUUUACCUAUGCCCUGGGAAUACGGAGAUUAUCCUGUUGGUGUUACAGAAGGAAAAAAACAAAUGUAUUGAACUAUAGACCCUACAUAUUAGGCAAUUGGUGUGUGAACACCACAUCCAGCAAUCUCUCUUCAGAGGAGGAGGAGGACACCUGUGGAAACUCUACAGAAGACAUACAAAUGAGUUAUGUUCAGAACAGAGAAUCGACUCAAUUCUGCAGUUCCAACCGCAUGCUGAAGUCCCUGAAGAGCCACUUCUAUAUCAGAUGA